AUUGAACGCUGGCGGCGUGCCUAAUACAUGCAAGUCGAACGCAGUGGGGACGGGUGAGUAACACGUGGGUAACCUCCCAUCAGAGGGGAUACCACUUGGAAACAGGUGCUAAACCGAUAUUGAUGGCUGGACCCGCGGUGCAUUAGCUAUGUGGGGGGGUAACGGCUCACCAAGUCCACGAUGCAUAGACGGCCUGAGAGGGGUAGCGGCCAAACUGGGACGUAGACACGGCCCAGACUCCUACGGGAGGCAGCAGUAGGGAAUCUUCGUCAAUGGACGAAAGUCUGACCGAGCAACGCCGCGUGAGUGAAGAAGGUUUUCGGAUCGUAAAACUCUGUUGUUAGAGAAGCGGUAUCUAACCAGAAAGCCACGGCUAACUACGUGCCAGCAGCCGCGGUAAUUC
rnacentral:rRNA from 1 species